rnacentral:rRNA from 1 species
UACGUAGGGACCAAGCGUUGUCCGGAAUUAUUGGGCGUAAAGAGCUCGUAGGCGGUCUGUUACGUCGGCUGUGAAAACCUGGGGCUCAACCCCGGGCCUGCAGCCGAUACGGGCAGACUAGAAUUCGGUAGGGGAGACUGGAAUUCCUGGUGUAGCGGUGAAAUGCGCAGAUAUCAGGAGGAACACCGGUGGCGAAGGCGGGUCUCUGGGCCGAUAUUGACGCUGAGGAGCGAAAGCGUGGGGAGCGAACAGG